UACGGAAGGUCCGGGCGUUAUCCGGAUUUAUUGGGUUUAAAGGGAGCGUAGGCCGUGGAUUAAGCGUGUUGUGAAAUGCAGGUGCUCAACGUCUGCACUGCAGCGCGAACUGGUCCACUUGAGUGUGCGCAACGCAGGCGGAAUUCGUCGCGUAGCGGUGAAAUGCUUAGAUAUGACGAAGAACUCCGAUUGCGAAGGCAGCUUGCGGGAGCACAACUGACGCUGAAGCUCGAAAGUGCGGGUAUCGAAC
rnacentral:rRNA from 2 species